GAAGGAGGACGACACCUAGCUGAUGGGAUGAUGGAUCCGGCUACCACUACUUGGUGGCCGAUGCAUGUUCUCGGGCUCUAAGCUCGACCCCACCAUCGCCAGCUGCAUUUCCGGCAGUGCUCUAUGUGAUUGAAAAGUAUACCGGCUUAGGAUCAA